UCAUUACAACCCAUCAAGCUCUGCUUGGCCUUGGGCGCCGCCCCCUCACCGGGACGCGCCCUAAAGAACUCGGCGGUGGCCCAGUCCCCGAAGCGUAGUAACAUACAUCCCGCUUCGUGUGGCCUGCGGUUCGCCCGCCUCCAAUGACCAACACCUCUUAGGUUGACCUCGGAUCAGGUAGGGAUACCCGCUGAACUUAA
rnacentral:misc_RNA from 1 species